rnacentral:lncRNA from 1 species
CUGAAGCAUCACAACCAAUGCAACCUAUGCCUUCAAUAGCUUUGCUUGAACCGAAAGCAAUUUGCAAUGCAGAAAUAGUCAGUACUAUGGAAUUUUUGAGGAAAACGAAAGGCGUUGCUUCCCAUGGCGAGUUUUCCACACAAGUGGUCGUUACAAAAUGAGUCCACAAAUUUACAAGAAACAAAUGGAGGAUCAUUUCGUUUGUGAAAAAAUCAUCAAUAUUUUGAGGAUUUAAUUUAUGGCAGCAUCAGGAGUACAUCUGAUGGAAAUCGUCCAGUCUUUUCCUCCCCGUUCGACAUUUCUUCAGCUCCUCUGUUCCUUGCGGAUAACAUUAACGAAACGUGCGUCUACUCUGUGACAGAUACUAUAAUCAAGUAUACUUAGGACGAGCGAACAAUCAUGAAAGUACAACACCGAACCAAAAUGCUGGAAGUCCAAACUCCAGAGCACGUACGUCCGGUACGGGACUGCUUAGAACACUCUGGGCUUGGCGACGAUGGUGGAGUGCUUGAGGAUGUGGAGGCUGAACUGGCCACCCUUCUCAGUCGUGUCAAGCUUGUCCUGGCCGGGCGGCGGCGUGAGCACGAAGUUCUGGACGAGGCGGCCGAUGGUGAUGCCGAGGAUGGGCAGCGCGAGGAUGAUGCCGGGGCAGCUCCGGCGGCCGACGCCGAAGGGCAGGUACCUGAAGUCGUUGCCGUUGGCCUCCACGUGCUUCUCCUCCUCCAGGAAGCGCUCCGGCCGGAACUCGUCGGGCCGCUUCCACUGCUCGGGGUUGUUGGCGAGGAACCAGGCGUUGACGAGGAUCUUGCUCUCGGCGGGGAUGUUGUAGCCGGCGAGCUUGGCGUCGUGGAGGUUCAUGUGGGGCACCAGCAGCGGGAUGGCCAUGCGCAGCCGCAGCGUCUCCUUGAUCACCGCCUGCAGGUAGGGGAGCUUGUGCGUGUCGGGCUCCGUGAUCUGGUGCCCGACGCCCAGCACCGCGUCCAUCUCGUCCCGCAGCUUCUGCUGGAUCUCCGGGUGGUUCACCAGCUCCGCCAGCCCCCACUCGAUCGACCACAGCGUCGUCUCGAUCGCUGCAUGGUUCACAGGCAACACGUCAGAGAUCAUUUUCAACAGCCGAUCAAUUCAACACUCAUAGCACGACACAGUUUCACGGACAUGGUGGUGCAUUGCCGUCGGUCUGACCGUCCUCCACGAGGGCGGCCCCCUGGAAGGGAUGGGGCCAAAUCCACGAGGGCCAAUCGAAGACCACUCUGGGAGAGUGGUGCCUGCUAGCUGUUCCCCGAUAGAUAGAUAAUUGGUGGCACUACUGCUGAAGAAGCGACUGGUACAGUACAGGGUUUGGUGCUGGUGCUAUUUAGGUUGGUGUAGUAAGUUCCGGAGAAAAAAAGGCCGGUGUAGUUUGGAACGCCGAAUUGAGGUUAGGCGAGUAUUUUUGACCAGGUGUACAGUGACAACUGACAAAUGCCUCUAUAGUCCUGGUGCUUCUGGACCAGACACUUCACCAACCUUCUAGGACAGCACUAUACUCCAACCACAGAUGUGACGCGAUGGUACAGUGUUGCUAUCUCACAAACGAAAAUGCCAAUGCAACGCAAUCUCUGCCAGAAAUAAAAGAAAUGAAGAGAAAUUUAAGUGUACCUGCGACGUUGAUGUUCUCGAUGAUGUAGAGGACGUUGUCCUCGUUGAUCUCCCCCUUCUGCUCCGCCUCCAGGAUGUGAUCAAUGGCGCACUUGAGCCCACCGUUGUCUUCCACGGCCUUGGUGCUCACCAGCUUCCUGCACACACACAAGCAGGCACGCACAAGGGGCCUCAACAUAUCAGCAAAUCUAUCAUGCCAUCCCCAUGAUUUCUCAUGGUUGGCCUUUCGCUUUCAGCCAAAUGGCCCAGCUAAUCAUGGAAAGUUAGGAAGACAUGGAUCAAGAAAGAUGUCUCAAUUAAUUAAGACUAGUGGAGAGCUUACUUCCUCUCGUCCAGGAAGUAAUCCUUGAAGAGCUUGAGGCGGGUCUCCUUGACCUCCUUGCAGAGCCGGAGGUAGCCGCGGAGGAAGGGGCGGAGGACGGGGAUGAAGUCGCCGUAGUUGUACUCGAAGCUCUGCGCGAGGCGGCUGCGCUCGCCGUUGAGCGCCCGGAGGCGGAGGAACAGCGGGUCGUCCAUGCUCUCGAACCGCCGGUCGAACAUGAUGCGGUACAUGUUGUUGUACAUCAUGAGCUGCAGGUGGCGGCGGAGCACGACGCCAUCGGUGGCGGCCCUGGGGUCGGCGCGGACGUUGUCCACCACGAAGGCCGCCUCGGCCUCCCACCCGGGCCGGUACUGCUGCACCACCUUGUUGGUGAAGAAGGGCACGGUCAUGAUGCGCCGCAUCUUGCGCCAGUGGUCGCCGUACACGGUGAACACCAUGUCCUGGCCCUCGCCGGUGAAGAUGUCGAACACCACGUUGCGGGUGCGGGACCCGAACUCCACGCCCUGCGUGUGGAGCACCUCGCGGGCCAGCGGCGGGGAGGAGACCACCACCAGGUUGCGCUGGCCCAUGCGGAGGAGGAAGACCUCGCCGAACUUGCGCGCCAUCGCCGCCAGGUUGCGGUGGUUCAGGUCGUCGCCGACCUGCAGCCAGUUGCCGAAGAUGGGCACCGGGAAGGGGCCCGGCGGCAGCCGCAGCUUGCGGCCCCGGAUCUUGGACACGACGAUGGCGCCCACCACGGCCGCGAGGAGGCCCACGAGGAGCUUCUCCACGAAGACGAAGUCCAUGGCGCCGGCCGGGGCGGGAACGGCCCGGGAACUGCUGCCGCUCUGUUGUGUGUUGGCGCUCUGGAACGGUUGCGGUUGGGUUGUUGUGUUUUGUCCCUGGGGGAUGACCGUGCCACCGUGCGCUUAAAUAAGGACGGGCGCGGCAGAGUUGGAGUAGCCGGCCGCCGUUAGAGUUGACGGCGGCGGGUAGGUAGGGAGGCAGACGGAGUGAGUUUGGUGAGAGGAGAGGAGAGGAGAGGCUCUGCCGUCCUUUCUUGGUCGAGAUCACUCCUACUCACUUUCGCCUCUGCCUUCUCCGGUCGGUGUUGACAAGGGAAAAGGUGCGACUCCCGCCGAUCCAUAUUAAUUUUAUCACAGAUUUAAUACAACUUUGUACUAAGUCUAAUUUAGUGCGGAAGGAGUAGUGCGUAUAAUUGGUGUAGUCAAAACAUUUUCUUUUUUGCGGGGAAGUGGAACUAUAUAACGCACAUAUGUUCGACACUUCCUAAAAAAUAUGAAAAAUAGCUACCACGAUUAUGUACAAACAGACCAAUAGGUAAUCAAAGUGAUUGAAUGGUUGAAGUGCAAUGAUACUUUCAACCCACUAGGAAUCAAGCCCUAGUUCAAUGUUUUGGCGUUUCACUAAUACUCCCUUCACAUGUAAAUAUGAGAUGUUUUAAAUAUUUCAGCAUAGACUACAUAUAAACUGCAAUGAUCGAACAAACACACUAAGGCCUCCUUUGGUUUGGAGGAAUUUCAUAAGAAUUCUAGAGGAUAGAAUUCUUAUAAGAUUUUUUUCUUUAGAGCCCUUUGGUUCGUAGGAAUAGAUUUCUAUUCCUACAUAGGAUUGGUUCCUAUCCUCCACUUCAUAGAAAAAUAAAAAUGAGCCUAGACUCAAUGGAAAAAUUCCUUUGGUGUCAACCAAAUAACAUCUCAUUUCUUAUUUCUACUCAUAGGAUUUGGGAUACAUGCCAUCUCAUUUCCUAUAAAAUUCCUAUUUCUAUGAUAAUCCUAUCCUAUGAACCAAAAAAGACCUAAUUUUUGCCCUAAAAAAGGCCUAAUUUUUUCUAUAUACAUUUGUUUUUAAAAAAGGUUAAAACAUAUUAUAUUUGUGGAGGAGGGAAUACAAAAUAUUUUUCAGUAAGAAACAACAAC